AUUGAACGCUGGCGGCAGGCUUAACACAUGCAAGUCGAGCGGGGUGAUGGUGCUUGCACUAUCACUUAGCGGCGGACGGGUGAGUAAUGCUUAGGAAUCUGCCUAUUAGUGGGGGACAACAUUUCGAAAGGAAUGCUAAUACCGCAUACGUCCUACGGGAGAAAGCAGGGGAUCUUCGGACCUUGCGCUAAUAGAUGAGCCUAAGUCGGAUUAGCUAGUUGGUGGGGUAAAGGCCAACCAAGGCGACGAUCUGUAGCGGGCCUGAGAGGAUGAUCCGCCACACUGGGACGGAGACACGGCCCAGACUCCUACGGGAGGCAGCAGUGGGGAAUAUUGGACAAUGGGCGGAAGCCUGAUCCAGCCAUGCCGCGUGUGUGAAGAAGGCCUUAUGGUUGUAAAGCACUUUAAGCGAGGAGGAGGCUACUUUAGUUAAUACCUAGAGAUAGUGGACGUUACUCGCAGAAUAAGCACCGGCUAACUCUGUGCCAGCCGCCGCAGUAACAC
rnacentral:rRNA from 1 species